UCCUUCCUGCUCCCUUUUUUCCAUCCGGUCUAAACACACUGGUCUUUGUGGUCACAAGAGGAGGAAUAGUAAUACUGAAUCUGGUCUCAUAGGGCUCAUAGUCUGCCAUGUAAGUAUGUAGGCUAGUUUCAGACAAGA